UGGAGCCACGUCUCUCCUGAGUCCCAAGUCCUAAGUUAGAGGGUGUGGGUAGGAGCCAGUGUUGAAGAGCUGAGAGCUUCGCUUCCAGAUCCCCCUUGGCCUCCCUAUGCCUACAUUUCCUCAUCUGACCCACCUUGUAGGGGUGCUCACUAAAAUGCUUAUUUUCUUUGCUGAUUCUCAGAGGAAAUUUGGAAAAUACAGACAAAUGAAAAGCAAAGAAGUCUGCAGGAUCCCACCCUUUUCCCAGGCUCCGGCAGGGUGAGGCCAUGGGCCUGACUGGAGCCGGAUCACCCCACAGGUGGUGGAAAGAGCUCUAGCCAGGGAGCGAGGAGACCCGGGUGCCCGCAUCCUUUCUGCCACUGAUCUUGGUUGCCAUCCCUGAGCAGUGCCUAAGGUCCCUUUAAACAGCAGCUCCCCACCAAAUCCUGCCUCACCCUGCACUUUGCAGCCUGGCCACAAAGCAAGUGGCCACACCCAGGGUUGGGGUUGGAGCUGCUCCUGGUCACACCCUGUGAAAGUGAGUAAACAGGGGGCCAAGGCCUGCCCACAAGGCUUCGGGACACCAGGCAGCCGGGGAAUGACAGUAGAGGGGGUUCUGGGCCCCGGAGGCCUUUAGGGUGACCUGAGGCAGAGAUGCUCCCACGUCCUGGCUUAGGACCUGGACAAGUGACUUCACAACUCAGCUUAGUUUCCUCAUCUGUGAGAUGCCUCAUCCCAGGCAUCUUGACCAAGAUAAUGAAUGUGAAGAGUGCCAAGCAGUGCCUGGCACAUGAGAGGCAUUCAGUAAAAGAGCCAUUCUUGCUGUGAUCACUGAGCCCCUCCGGGAGGGAGGUACAGACAGAUGCACUCGGCUCCUCUGGGAGGCAAGCGGUUCAAAACCACAGCUGUUACUAAAACUCUGCCGGGUCGCCUGAAAGCAGCUGGCCAGAGGAGAGACUGGGCCCACCACUGAGCCCCCUCCCUGGGGGCACCCAGCUCCUAAAUCAAGCAGUACUGGAGAAAGUCAAGCAGAGAAGAGACUGUGUCUCCCUAUACAACUUCAGACAGGUUACAUCCCCUUUCCGAACCUCAGUUUCCUCCUGCAACAUGGAGCUGCGAACACCAUCUACUUCCUAAGCGCGAAACUGCGUGCCGCGAAAUUCGGAUCUCCCGCGGAAAAUGCCGGGCUCCGAUUGGUCGCUGCAACAGGCACAGGCUCCACCCCCCGGAAGGACCAGUCCCCCGAGGGAGAUCCUAACAUCUAUCGGAUGAGAUGGUUGGAUGGCAGCACCGCCUCAAUGGGUAUGAGUUUGAGCAGGCUCUGGGAGUUGGUGAUGGACAGGGAGGCCUGGCGUGCUGCAGUCCAUGGGGUCGCAAAGAGUCGGACUGAGCGACUGAACUGAACUGAACAUCUAUCGAUGGCCACAGCAUGCCUAGCACCCUGCUAGAUGAUUGCUUUAUCUUAUUUUAUUUAACUGAAUCCAACAAUUGCCAGAAAAGAAGUGAUGAUCUUGCUGGUAAAGAUGGACCGUCUGAGAGGUUAGGUCACUUGCUCAAGGUCACACAGAGAGACUGGCUGGUUUGUGAUCUGACAGUUCAGUCUGAGAAAGGCCAGCUCCUGAGCCCUUGUUUGUUCCAAUGAAAGAAUCCUCCCACACUCUCCUAAGCUGAGCCCAGGCCCUUGCAGUCUUGGGUGGGAGUCCAGAGUGCAGAGCUCUGACUUGUCCACAGUUGUAUUCCCAGAGCCCAGCACUCUGAAUAUUUGAAGAUCUCCAGGUUUCUCCUCAACAACCCUUUCGUCACAGGUCUUCCUUCCUUCAUGGCCAAUAAUCCAUUUACAUUCCUCAUCUCUCCAGUCUAGAGAGGCCAAGGCUUAGAGAAGUAACCUUGGCUAGUGAGUGGCAGAGCCACUAAAACGUGCUGCUAGAUUCCAGGUCUGCUGAUUCCUGCCUGCGUCUGUGUGAUUUUUAUGCAAGUCUGAACCUGGCAUUCAAAGCGCUUCUUCAGAGUCAGUUCCCAGCUUCAUACUUGAUCCUCAGAUCUCGAAGACGAGAUGGUAAUAACGCGUGGGGAUGAAGAACCCAGACUUUGAAGCAGAGAGCCCUGCUUUCAAACCCAGACCUGGUCACUUUACUAGCUGUGUGAGUUUUGUAAACUCUCUGAACUUGGGUUUUCUUGUCCCGUAUCACUCACUUCAUAAGACUGUGGGGAAAUCUCAUGAGAUAAUGCAUGUAAAGCUCUCAGCACAGAGCAUGGUUUACAAGGAACCCCAAGAAAUGGCAGCUGUGGUUACAUCUCUGACCUUAUCUCCAGUGCACAGAUCCCUUUACUCCAGUCUACACAUUUCACUGGUCUAUCAUGGCUCAGUUUAUUUUUAAAAUUUUUAUUAUGAUUGUGUUAUGUUAUUUGAAUGAAAAUAGACUUUAUUGCCGAGGGAUUAAAACCAUUUGAACAUGUAUUUUUCUAUAUAACAUCACAAUAAGUCAUAUUGUGAUCAGUGUUCACUAAAAUAUUAAUUUUCAUCAUUUGCUUCAAUUCAUGUCUUCUUGACCAGUUCUUUUGUUUCCUUCUCAUAUAUUGUAUGCCACA